ACGCUGGCGGCAUGCUUUACACAUGCAAGUCGGACGGCAGCACAGAGAAGCUUGCUUCUUGGGUGGCGAGUGGCGAACGGGUGAGUAAUAUACCGGAACGUACCGAGUAAUGGGGGAUAACUAAUCGAAAGAUUAGCUAAUACCGCAUAUUCUCUGAGGAGGAAAGCAGGGGACCUUCGGGCCUUGCGUUAUUCGAGCGGCCGAUAUCUGAUUAGCUAGUUGGUGGGGUAAAGGCCUACCAAGGCGACGAUCAGUAGCGGGUCUGAGAGGAUGAUCCGCCACACUGGGACUGAGACACGGCCCAGACUCCUACGGGAGGCAGCAGUGGGGAAUUUUGGACAAUGGGCGCAAGCCUGAUCCAGCCAUGCCGCGUGUCUGAAGAAGGCCUUCGGGUUGUAAAGGACUUUUGUCAGGGAAGAAAAGGCUGUUGCUAAUACCGACAGCUGAUGACGGUACCUGAAGAAUAAGCACCGGCUAACUACGUGCCAGCAGCCGCGGUAAUACGUAGGGUGCGAGCGUUAAUCGGAAUUACUGGGCGUAAAGCGAGCGCAGACGGUUACUUAAGCAGGAUGUGAAAUCCCCGGGCUCAACCUGGGAACUGCGUUCUGAACUGGGUGACUAGAGUGUGUCAGAGGGAGGUAGAAUUCCACGUGUAGCAGUGAAAUGCGUAGAGAUGUGGAGGAAUACCGAUGGCGAAGGCAGCCUCCUGGGAUAACACUGACGUUCAUGCUCGAAAGCGUGGGUAGCAAACAGGAUUAGAUACCCUGGUAGUCCACGCCCUAAACGAUGUCAAUUAGCUGUUGGGCAACUUGAUUGCUUAGUAGCGUAGCUAACGCGUGAAAUUGACCGCCUGGGGAGUACGGUCGCAAGAUUAAAACUCAAAGGAAUUGACGGGGACCCGCACAAGCGGUGGAUGAUGUGGAUUAA
rnacentral:rRNA from 1 species